AAUAGUAAAUAACCCGGUUUCGACCCGGGAAAAGGUCCUGCCUACUAUUU
rnacentral:tRNA from 1 species